rnacentral:rRNA from 1 species
CAGUAGCCGCGGUAAGACAGAGGAUGCAAGCGUUAUCCGGAAUGAUUGGGCGUAAAGCGUCUGUAGGUGGCUUUUCAAGUCCGCCGUCAAAUCCCAGGGCUCAACCCUGGACAGGCGGUGGAAACUACCAAGCUGGAGUACGGCAGGGGCAGAGGGAAUUUCCGGUGGAGCGGUGAAAUGCGUUGAGAUCGGAAAGAAUACCAACGGCGAAAGCACUCUGCUGGGCCGACACUGACACUGAGAGACGAAAGCUAGGGGAGCAAAUGGGAUUAGAUACCCGCGUAGUCCCUGUCUCUUAUAC